UACGAAGGGGGGCUAGCGUUGUUCGGAAUUACUGGGCGUAAAGCGCGCGCAGGCGGUCUUCCAAGUCAGUGGUGAAAGCCCGGAGCUCAACUCCGGAACUGCCAUUGAAACUGUUAGACUUGAGGAUGAGAGAGGUGAGUGGAAUUCCCAGUGUAGAGGUGAAAUUCGUAGAUAUUGGGAAGAACACCGGUGGCGAAGGCGGCUCACUGGCUCAUAUCUGACGCUCAGGCGCGACAGCGUGGGGAGUCAAACAGG
rnacentral:rRNA from 1 species